AUGGCCAAGGGAAAGGGGAAGUCUGAUGGUGAUGGGUGCUCUCGUGAGAGGACUAUUUCCUGGGCUGAUGAUCAGACCAAGUUUAUGUUGGAUUGGUGCAUUGAAUACAUGAAGGAACAAUAUGCGGGAUUUAGGUUCAGGAAGCAUCAUCUUUUGAAGUGUGCUGAUGCUUUAAAUAGAAAAUUUGCUAUGGGGGUGACACUUGCUCAAGUUGAUCGUCACUUCAGGCACUACAAAGAAAAUUGGAAGUACAUUGCCGCCGCAAUUAGCAAGAGUGGCAAUGUUUUCGAUGAUAUUAGAUGUGUGGUAACUAUCUUCGAGUCUGAAAAGUCUUGCCUCAAUGAUAGAGCAAGGCGCUUGCUUUCUAAGCCCAUCAAGUUCUACUAUGAGAUGCAGGAGCUAUUCACAGGCACUAGUGCUGAUGGUUCUUUGGCCAUGGACCAACAUACAUGCACAAUUGAUUCCGAUGACUCGGACAAUGAUGAAGGGUUGUAUGAUCUCAACUGCUAUCCACAGUAUGAGGGCCCUCUUGAGGAGGAUUCUGACACUUUGCCAACAACACAUUGUCCUAAAAGACCUCCAGUACCUGUAGGUGGUGAUAAUUCAACAUCUAGCACUAGCCGAGUUGGUAAGAAGCGCCCAAGAGGUAGCAAGUCACCUACUAAGAAGCCACCAAGAACCAAGAGUCGUUUCGUGGAGACCACUGAAGAAAUCAACUCUACAUUGAGGUCACUCCAGCAAUCCCUUGCUGCCGCUCCUCCUCCAAUGCCCCAAGUUGUUGAUCCUUAUGCUAGUUUAUGGAAGAGGUUGGAGGAACUCCCAAUUACCACAGAUCAAAGAAUUACUGUUGGUGUGCACUUAUCUUGCAAGGACAAUGAAGGUUUGCGUGGUUGGUUAUGCAGUGCAAGUGAAAAAACUUUUGAAACUUGGGUUUGCAAGUUCUUUGCUGACAAAGAUCAUGUUUAUAGCAACAUGUGA
rnacentral:rRNA from 1 species